rnacentral:sRNA from 1 species
AAAACAAUAUAUAAAACCCUAAAAACGUUCAGGGACUAAUAAUGCAAAUAGGAAAGU